AUGGCUGCGUACAAGCUAGUCCUCAUGGGGCACGGCAAGAGCGCCUGAACCUGGAGAACCACUGCAGCGGCUGGUACGACGCCGACCUGAGCCCGGUGGGCCACGAGGAGGCAAAGUGCAGCGGACAGGCGUUGCGAGAUGCUGGCUAUGAAUUCGACAUCUUCUUCACCUCCGUGCAGAAGACAGUAAAUCAAACCCUUUGGACAGUCCUGGAUGCCAUUGACCAGAUGUGGCUGCCAGUGGUCAGGACCUGGCACCUCAAUGAGCGACAUUAUGGGGUUCUGACUGGUCUCAAUAAAGCACAAACUGCAGCUAAGCAUAGUGAGGCACAGGUAAAGAUCUGGAGGCGAUCUUUCGAUGUCCCACCACCGCCAAUGGAGCCUGGUCAUCCCUUCUACAGCAACAUCAGUAAGGAUCGCAGGUACGCAGACCUUUCUGAGGACCAGCUACCUUCCUGUGAGAGCCUGAAGGACACCAUUGCCAGAGCACUGCCCUUCUGGAAUGAAGAGAUUGUUCCCCAGAUCAAAGAGGGGAAGAGAGUCCUGAUUGUGGCCCAUGGCAACAGCCUUCGGGGGAUCGUUCAGAACAGGCCAUCAUGGAGGUGAACCUGCCAACUGGCAUUCCCAUUGUCUAUGAAUUGGACAAGAACUUUAAGCCCGUGAAACCCAUGCAGUUCCUGGGAGAUGAAAAGACUGUGCGGAAUGCCUUGGAAGCUGUGGCCGCGCAGGGCAAGGCCAAGAAGUGAAGGCAAGCAGACAGA